GAGCAGGGCUAGCCUCGAUCCCAGGCCGAGUUUUCGCUUUUAUAACGGUUAGGCGAACAACUGGGCCUGGUACUAGUUGUCUGCGCAUGCGUCAAUCGUUCGUCAGAUUCUGACGAAUGGAUAUUCUCGUUCACUUUCGUGACAUUUAUAUUUGUGUACUAUCGUGUACUAGAAGUCAGUUCCCGUUUUAUCAUUAUUGGAAUCGAUUGGAAUGGCUCUUAGCUGAAGCUUCUCUCUUCUCUGAAGCUUAUUCUGAAGACUGAACAACAAGGGAAGAGGUAUAAAGCUUUGUCAAGCUUGUUAAGGAGCAAUGGCUAAUAUCCAGCUAUCCCAACAGUGCUCCUCUUGGCUAUACUAACGGACGAGACUGGACAGUUUGAGACACAGGACUGGAGUAUGACCUGCUCAUUCGAGCGUUGCUGGGUAGCUCAGAGACAUCAAGAGAAUCUAUGUUUUCUCAAGCAAUGAGUUACGAGUUGGGGCCUAGAAUCAGAGAAGUCCAGCAGCCUGCUAAAUCUUUUUGAAACGUAAUUUGAAGGCAUUCAAUCAUCCUGAAGUUGCCCUGGGUCACUGUAAUUGUGCUGCAGCACAACUGGCAACUCCCCAGGCCUUUGUGAAGCAGCUCCCUAUGUGCAUCUUUUGUGUACUCACUCUGUGCAUUUUCUGUGUACAAAUUUCCAUUAUUGAUUUAUUAAAUAUUUUUGCCGACCACAAA